UUUUGGCACCAGAGAAAGAGAGAGCCAUCUGGCUCCCCUUGCACUCCUUGGCCUGAAUUUCUGGGGCCACUGUUACCAUCCUUUGGGAGGCCUGAUGCAAAGUUAUUCCCUAGCGAAUGAGAACCGUAGGAGGCAGGUAAUAAGUUGGAGUUUGUAAUGGGAGGAAGCAGGUGAGCGUUCAAAACCCUUCCUUGAAUAACCAAGCGUAGCUGUACAGCCCCAGUGCCAGGAUACGUGGAAGGUGUUGUCUUGCUGUGGGAACCAUGGUGUUUAUAUAGAUUUCUCUGAGUGCUGUGCUUUCUUAGGUGGAUGGUUCUUUGCUUGUGCCAAAGUUAUGUGUUUAAAAGGGCAACAGUUUUCCCAGGAGGGAAAGAGGAGAAUAAAUUUCCACGAGAAAGCAAGGGGCAGAAAGGACAGCUUUGGAAGAAAUGCUUCGGAGAAGCUGGAUCCUCAGAGGGCUCUGUGACAUCAAUUAAACAACAAGGCAUUGGACGGACGUGGUCAUAAGGCUAUGGCGGUCUGUUUCCAGAUACAGCUGGGCAAGGAUUCAGAAUUUAGAAGAAAUGGCCAGAGGCGAAACAACUGUCAAAAGUAACUUGAUCUUGGCUUCCACUCUACAUGGCUUUGAUUUUCCCUUUUUAGAGGAAUAGGGGAGACACUCCUGAGGUCAAAUGAUUGAAUAAACGUUGGUGUUGUUUUCUUACCCUCCCUGGUCAAGGAGCCGAUGCCCACAUGAAGCAUGGAGGGUCCUUAGCAGCCCCCAGUGGCAUCCUGUUGAGAUUGGUUCCAGAAAUGGAGUCUCACUCCCCAGCCUCCAUGCUAACUGGGAGUCGGGGUGAGAUGUGGAGAGGCGAUAGGCAGUCAGACACACAGAGGGACUGGCUAACGUGUGCCUAGGGCAAUUCCAGUGCAUCCUCAUUCCACCGCCCUCGUGAUAUGGAAUGAUGCCCCCUCUUUCCUUCUAGAGCAGGGAAGUGGGUUUGAGUGACCAGAGGCAGAUCCCGGAGGAGGCAGGCCAAAGAGUCGGAGCUUUUCAUUCCGUCCUUGUUGCUUAUAGAUGGAAUGUUUGUGUUCCCCACUAAAUUCAUGUGUUGGAACCUAAUCCCCAGAGUGAUAGUACUAGGAAUUUGGGGGGUGAUGAGGUCAUAGGGUGGAGCCUCAUAAAUGGAAUCAGUGCUCUUAUAAAAGAGACCCCACAAAGCUCCCCUGUCGCUUCCGCCAUGUGAGGACACAGUGAGAAGACUGACUGCCAUCUAUGAACCAGGAAACCAAGUCUGCCUGCGCUUUGAUCUUGGACUUCCAGCCUCCAAAACUGUGAGAAAUAAAUGUUUGCUGUUUAA